CUGCGAAUGGCUCAUUAAAUCAGUUAUCGUUUAUUUGAUAGUACCUUACUACACGGAUAUCUGUGGUAAUUCUAGAGUUAAUACGUGCUAAAAACCCCGACUUCGGGAGGGGUGUAUUUAUUAGACUAAAAGCCAACGCCCUCCGGGGCUCCUUGGUGAUUCAUAAUAACUCAACGAAUCGCAUGGCCUUGAGCCGGCGAUGGUUCAUUCAAAUUUCUGCCCUAUCAACUUUCGAUGCUAGGGUAGUGGCCUAGCAUGGUGACAACGGGUAACGGGGGAUUAGGGUUCUAUUCCGGAGAGGGAGCCCGAGAAACGGCUACCACAUCCAAGGAAGGCAGCAGGCGCGCAAAUUACCCAAUCCCGACACGGGGAGGUAGUGACAAUAAAUACUGAUACAGGGCUCUUUCGGGUCUUGUAAUUGGAAUGAGUACGAUUUAAACACCCUAACGAGGAACAAUUGGAGGGCAAGUCUGGUGCCAGCAGCCGCGGUAAUUCCAGCUCCAAUAGCGUAUAUUAAAGUUGUUGCAGUUAAAACGCUCGUCGUUGAACCUUGGGCCUGGGCGAUCGGUCCCCCUCACCGGGAGCACUGGUUCGGCCGGGCCUUUCCUUCUGGGGAUCCGCAUGCCCUUCGCUGGGCGUGCCGGGGAACCAGGACUUUUACUUUGAAAAAAUUAGAGUGUUCAAAGCAGGCCUUUGCUCGAAUACCUUAGCAUGGAAUAAUAGAAUAGGACGUGCGGUCCUAUUUUGUUGGUUUCUAGGACCGCCGUAAUGAUUAAUAGGGUCAGUCGGGGGCAUCAGUAUUCAAUUGUCAGAGGUGAAAUUCUUAGAUUUAUUGAAGACUAACUACUGCGAAAGCAUUUGCCAAGGAUGUUUUCAUUAAUCAGUGAACGAAAGUUAGGGGAUCGAAGACGAUCAGAUACCGUCGUAGUCCUAACCAUAAACUAUGCCGACUAGGGAUCGGGGUAUACUCAUUUUUGGUUGCCUCGGCACCUUACGAGAAAUCAAAGUGUUUGGGUU
rnacentral:rRNA from 2 species